CAAGAUCCUCCAUUAUGGUAACUCCAAGUGACAUUUUUGUUAUCAAACCCGGUAUUAAUUUCCCAGUCUUUACCUUCAUAUGCAGGAUAACUAAUUUUUAGUGGCAUUUCUCCGACCAACUCAUCCCAACGAGCUUCAAUAAGAUCCAUGAUUGCAGUUGACUGCUCUGGAGUUGCUAAAGAAGAUAGAAUUGCAACACAGUUUCCUAAAGCGAACCAUCGAAAAUCCAUUCGAGCUGGACUGACAUUUCCGAUAAAGUAGCCACCGCAUUUUGGCAUAAAGUCAAAUAGCCAAUCUGGAAUUGAAUCCGGAUUAACGUUAAACUUAUUUACUGCAGUAUGUGAGUACUCCUCGGUCUUGUACCGAUAAAUGUUAUUUAGUUGCUGGAAGUCAAGCCAAAAGUAGCUUCUCAUGUGAAAACUUAGUGCAUGCAAACGUUUCACAACAAGCUCUACAUAUUCCUUAUCAUCAGCAGUAUCUUGUUUGAGCAUUGACAAAGCACAUCUCAAUGCCAUGAAGAAAAGUGCUUGAAUUUCUAUAGGAUAUCCAUAAACACCCUGCACGAAAAGAAAAGAAAAAAAAGGAAACAAAUAAUUAAGUAUGCAAGUUCUUGAAAAUCACCCAAAUUCAUAUUCAAGUGUUUAAAUUUAAAAUCAUGUGCAUAGAAAUUUUUUGGGUAUCAUUCAAUUAUGCGUUGACUCGUCAUUUUAUGAAUUUGACAUAGUUGAAUAAGAGUAAGACUUGUAAAAAUUUAAUAUCACAUCACCAAUAUGAUCUCUAACAUUUAAUAAGUAUAUAUGUUAGCAAUAUGAAUUAUAUUACAUACUGAGAAACAACUGCAAAUCAUGCCUUACCAUUCUUCGAUCAAUCAUGCAGCAUCCAUCAGCACAUAGGAGAGUUGGGAAUGUGUCAAACCCCUCGGACAAGCAUAGAGUCAAUAUAAGUUUCAUUCCUUUUUGACAAUCAUCAGAUUCAGACAGAGUUAAAUCCCCUGUAGAUUUUGUGUAAGCACGAAGCAAAAUGAUCCACCAAAAUCCAGAGUCAACAGGAGCAACUCUUCCAAUUGCACUUUCACCAAAAUCUGCAAUAAGAGUAUCUGUUUUCCUAACAGCAUCAUGAAGGACUUUGAAACUAGCUGGCAUAACACCUUCACCAAGCUUAAAUUGAUCUACUCUUUUUUCCCACCCUUGAAGACGCAGCGUCUUCAGUAAGAAGUUCUUAACUAUUUCCGGUUCACCAUUCAUCAAAAAGGCUAGUGCACUUGGAACAAAAUCGCGAACAAAAACCUAAAAAGCAAAAAUUUAUCAUCAAAUGUCAUACUCAUACUUAGAUAUGUGCAGAAACAAUUAUUCAGUGCGUGGAAGCCAUCACAGACAAUUUUAGUACUGAUUAAGGAAUUCGCUCACCUGAUCAUAAUUUAGAACUUCUUCUGAUUGAUGAUCAACAGCUGCAAGUGUGCCUACAGGUUUGCCAUUGAAAUAGACUAGAGACUUCCUGAGAGAUUCCCAGGCAUCAGCAAGCAUUGGCUGAGGCUCGAACGAGUUCUGAGCAGAUGAAAAUGAUCUUGCUCCAAUGGACAGUUCACUGAGUAAACUGUCAUCAACUGAUCUCUGUCUCUCUAUGUUUAGCCUUGGAUUGUCAAGCAAGCCAGAGAGAUCAAAAGCAUCCAUCUCGGAGAGCAAACACUGAGACCUGAUUUUCCUAAUUCCCACAGGCCCGUUCAUUCCAGAGAUCGAACACUGAGACUUGAUUUUCCUCAUUCCCACAAGCCCGUUCAUUUCUCCGAUAAUCGAAUGCCUUUAUCAGAAAUAGAUGUUACCUACAAUCAGAAGCAAACAUUUUACAAACAACCAAAAAAUAAAAUAAAAAAUAAAAACCAGUGAUGGCAUUGGAAACGUAAAACACAUACAUGGUGGUCAUUCUCACAUGCUAGCAGCUAAAAAAAUACCAAGGUAAAGGAACAAUAGUUUAUGAUCUCAUAGCUCAUGGGAGAAGCGUAAUGUUGUCCCAAUAAUUUUCAAUAGUAAGUGAGACCUAAAGUAAGUUUUACCGUAUGCAGUCUUUUUUUGUCCGCAUAUAAUGUCUUUUUCUUAUAAAACUUAAUGAAAAAUAUCUUUUGUUGGUAGACCCUAGGUUUAUUAGCCAUAACCCUUGUGCCGGCCCUAGAGAAGGCUAACACCAAAUUUCACUUUCUUGGUAAUCAAGUAAGCAAAAGAAAGGUCAAUUUUGCUUUUAGUUAGUAUUGGUUAGUGAGUUUUUUAGUAGAUUCAAUUUGAAACUAACAAUGUGUAUACAAAUAAAUAACCUAUGGAUAUCAAAUAAAAUGGAUUCAUUCAAUAUAUUCUAAAAACCUUCUCUAAAACUAAGUGUAAACAAGUGUGUUUGUGUGAUACUUUAUCAGCUUCAACGAGAGAGAACCUGAAGGAGGACGACGUGAACAGUGAGGCCUAGUGAGAUCUCUCCAAUUAAACAACGGUGUUGAUUGGCGGCUUGGACGGAAAAUAGUAUGCAAAGAGAGAAUUAAUGGAAGAAAAAAGAGUGGGGGAAGGGAAAAAGUGAGCAAGGGAUAGAAAGGUUAUAUUUAUAGGGGAAGCCGGACAGUAGAAAGUGAAAAUAGGUUUACUUGACAAAACCGGUUAAGACACGGUAAAGUAGGCAACACGAAACCGUUUUAUUUUGUGUCUCUCUCUAUAUCUUUGUACUCCGAGAUAUUCGAAAUUGGAUAUGGAAAUAUAAUUGAUAAGAAAGGAAAAAUAAGUUAUUGAGAGGAUUCUAAUCUUAUUUAUAGUAAUUAUAAAUUUGAACGUGAUAUACAAUGCUCAAAUAAGGAAUUGGUAUCAAGAAUAUUGUGCUUUUGCCUUUUCAGAUAUUACUUUAUGCAUCAUAUUGCUAUUAUUAAAAACUACAUUUUUUUUGUAAAAAAUAAUGGACAUUUGACCAAAAUAAAAAUUAAUUUUAAUUUUUUUAUGGUUGGAGUCAAACCAUGACACCCCUCCCCUAUUACUCCACACCACACUCUUUAACAUUCUCACCCUAGCCGCUAAGCCAUCUUUAUAUCUCUCAAAAUAAUUGAAACUAGUUAAAAAUAGUAAAGGGAACAUUAGGAUAAUCAAAAAGUGAUUUUCAGUAAAAAAAAAAAACUAAAAACACAAACAUGGCAUCUAAUACACACUGCUAUAGUCCGGGAAAUGGAAGGCACAUCAAAGCAAGAAAAAAAGAAGAAGAAGAAGCAUAAUGAAAGGUGCAAGCAACAAUAUAGAGAUUAGAAAACUUACCUAAGACUUAGACUCUGCUAGUAUAGAGAGUUACUAUCCUUCGAAAAUAGUACAAUUCUCACCAAAUUUUCUGUGUUAAUGUAGGGAGUUUUUAUAGAAUUUUCUUAAUGCAGUAAAUAUACCGAAUAGAAUAAAAGAAAGAAAAAUAAUUUAUCAUAUAGGGUAUAUAUAGAGUUUUAUGAAUGGCAUUACCAUUAAUCUCUUUCUUUUUCGUUGAUUUAUUUUUAAUUUAGCAUCAAUAGGUUUAUUUUAUUUUUUUUCUUUAGCAAAAGAUGGCAGCAGGUUUCCGGCCCUUUUCCCUUGUUCUUUUGUUUUUUCUUUUAAUUUUUGUAAUUGUUACUCGUUUUUCUAAUUUAUUUUAGUUUGUAAAAAUGGCAAUAUAAUUUUUUUAAUAGAUACCUAAGCAUAAAAUAUAGUCUUUUAAUUAUACAAUGUAUUUUAAUAUAUUGAAACCGAUAAAGGUCAUCUCCUUAAUUAACUUAUUUUUUGUUACUUACGUAUUAUUUAUGGGAACUUCUAUGGUACACUCACAAUUUUGAGUGUACCGGUACUCUUUUUUCAAAAAAUAUAUAAAUUAAAGAUCACUUUAAUGAAAUAAAAAGGUAUUUGUCAAUAUUUAUAUUUUAGAAAACAUCAUUUCAUAAGAAAAACCAUCAUUUCAUUGUUUAUAAGGAUCAUAUUACAAAAUUUACAUUUUGUCAUAAAAAAUAAUCAAUAUUCAUUGUUAUGAGUAAUAAAAAUUCUUAAAAAUUAAUUUUUAUUUCGUCGAAGCUUUUGAUAUAUAAAAUUUAAUUAUCUUAGUUGUCAAUGAUAGAAAAUAAUUAUUUUUCUUCAAAAAAACAACUCAUUUAUUAUUAAUUUUAUGACUUGGUGUACCGAUACACCCAAAUUUAUUGGGUGUACCAUAGAAUUUGCCAUUAUUUAUAUCGUGAUUUUUUUUUUUUUUGAAACAAUUUAUAUUGUGAUCUAAAGUUUCUAGUUUAUCAACCAAAAAAAUCAUAUAAAAUCAUCCUAUCAAAAACCUAUACCAAAUCAUCGUUGAUUUCCUCUUCGAAAUUGUAGGAUUUGGGCCAAAUCUAUAAAUGACAAAAUAUUGUCUAAUAGUCAAAUAUUGUCAAUCAGUUUCGUCAUUCUACAAAUUAAUUUUAAUAUUCAAUCUCCGCCAUAAAAUAGAGAUCAUAUAUAAAUUAAUUUUUUUUAGGGAGAGAUCAUGUAUAAAUAUAACUCUUUUUUUAGGGGAAAUAUAACUCAAUUAUUAAUAUAAUAUAUGUGUGUGUAUUAUUUCAAUAUACUAUGAUAUAUUAUGUUUAAAUAAAUUUUUUUACUCCUCCAUUAUUAUUUCAUACUUUUUACACACACAUAUAUAAUGCGGGGAAGCUCAGCUGAUUUGAGUUAAGGGAAAAGAAGUUGGAGGUCAUGGAUUCAGAACCGGACAAAGGAGAAAAAUAUUAAUCUAAAAAGUUAACCAUUAAUUUCAAAUAUAAAUUUAAAAAUAUAUUUCUCUUACAAGUAACCCUGGUUAUAUCAAACUUGCAUUCAUGUUUCUGUUCGUGAUGAGGCGGAACACAUUUUUAGAAACUUUAUAUGGGUACUCAUGACAAGAGAUAAUGUCAUCUAAUCUCCUGGAAAAACAUUAGUAAGCCUAAGAAUGAGGGUGGUCUUCGUUUUCAUUGUCUUCACACCCUUAACCAAGCAUAUAUGAUGAAGUUAGCAUGGUCUAUGAUUACCCAUCCCGAUAAACUUUGGGUGAAAUUUUUUCGUGCCAAGUACUCUUACAAGGAACAAACUCUCCCUUUAGUAGAGCACCACCAUUGUGACAUUUGUGUUUGAAGAAGUAUCACCAAAGUUUAGCAACGUGGGGAGGUCAAUAGUUAUUGUGUUAUCAAUAGUGGUCAAACUACUAGCUUUUGCUUGACCCGUGGAUGCGUGGUCAUGGCCUCCUUAAGGAUAGUUAUCUCAACUAUCCUUAUUGAGGAAUCUAACUUUUGUGUUUCUUAUGUCUUUAUUGAUAAUUAAAAUUGGCACAAGCUUGUAUCAGGUAUCCAUUUAUAUGUUUGUGGUUCGAACAUUAAGUCUUCAUCUAUAGGCGUUGAUGAUGAGAUGGUCACUGACUAGAAUGGUGAUUUUUCAAUCAAAUCAGCUUACAUCUCUCCAUUGAGUCUCAUGUUGCUAAUAUGUAGGGUUAUUUUUAUUUUAUUUUUUUUGACUUGGAAUUAGCAUUGACCUCAUAAAUUUGUGUAUUCUUAUAGAAAGUGUGUCAUGGGAGGUUACUUACUACCGAGGAGAGGAAGCGUCAACAUGUGACCCUUGAUGGUACUUGCAUAUUGUGAAGAUGUUUGUGAACAUUGAGACCACUUUAUCAACCAUGAUAUGGGGAGCAGUUUUUUUUUUUAAUUUGAGCCUUAUGAUUGGCUUAAAUGGAAUCUCACUUUUGAUGAAAUUGGCCCUCCUAAUAUUCACUAGUCAACUUAUUUUAUAGUAACCAUUUGGAGUCUUUAGAAGGAUCGUAGUUCGCUUAAUUUUUUAAGGUAAAGUUGAAAGGGUUAAAUAUGUUUUUGGUCUCUAUAAAUAUAUUAACUUUUCGUUUCAGUCCCUUUAAAAUUUUCCUUCAACUUUUGGUCCCUAUAAAAUUUUCAAUCAUUACUUUUGGUCCCUCUUUUAAAGUAAACUCAUAUGUAAAAUUUAUAUUUUUAUAUAAAAAAUUUCAGAAAAAUUCUUAAUAUUAUAAGAAUCUCUCCCUAAAAAAAUUAGAAUUUUUUAACAAAACAUGAAUUUAAUAUGAAUUUUUAUACAAUAUUCAUAUUAAAUUUUUAUUUUAUUAAAAAAUUCUAACUUUUUUUAUGAUUUUUUUUACAAUAUUCUACACAUUUCUGCACAAUUUCAUUAAAAAUUAAAAAAAAAUAACUUAAAAAUAGGGACUAAAAGAAGUGACUGAAAAUUUUAUAGGGACUAAAAGUUGAAGGAAAAUUUUAGAGUGACUAAAACGAAAAGUUGGUAUAUUCAUAGGGAUCAAAAACAUAUUUAAUCCAAGUUGAAAUUCAUUAAAAUCUUGCCUUCUUUGUCAAUGGUAUGGUUAAUUCUAUCUGUCAUGGCCUCCUUAAGUUUAUACCUAAGGUUGUGGUGGUCGUAUUAGAGAUCAUCGCGUCAUUUCAUUGAAGGUUUCCAUUGCAAUAUUGAAACCUCUUAUGUUGUUCAUGGUGUGUUGUGGGAUCUUUAUCACGACUUAAAGUUUGCUCGUGAGCUCCAUAUUUCCCCAAUUGUGGUUAACUUUGUGAACGACGGAUUUUGUGAUAGUGCCUCCCUUCGGCCUCUCCUUGAGUGAUGUGCUUCACUUGCUUUGUGGUCCUAAUUGAAAUGUCUCUCUUGCACACUUUUACAGAGAAACCAACACCAGUGUUCUUGUCAUUGCAAAUUUUGGUAAUGCUAAUAUUUUUUCUAGGAUUAUCCUCAAUACUCGUCAUGAACCCUUGAAGUUGCACCUUCAUUUUGAUGUUUUAGAGAGAGGUACAACCUGUCUUGUUUCCAAAUAGGUAGAGAAGGUGGAUAAUGGGGUUUCUAUGUUCGUUAAUGGGGUUUCAGCAUAAUAGUUAUAUUUUGGCAGGGGAUUACGGGUGAUCAUUUGUUGCUUUUUCUAUUUGAUUUUAAUUUUUAGGCAAAAUUACGUAAUUAGUCCUCUAACUUAAUUUUAAUUAUCGAUUCAGUCAUUUAUCUUCUUUUUUCCCAUUUUAAUCCUUUAUGUUCUAAAAUAUUAACAUUGUCAUCCUUUUUGCAUAAAAAAAAUUAUAAAUCCAGAAAACUCGUCACAGAGUGCAGAUCUUCAUGGGAAAAAAAACUCAAGUUCAUUAAAAAAAGCCAAAUACUCAGAGUUCAUCUUGAAAUAAACCCAAAUUUUCAUCAAAUCUAAAACCUAAAUAUUCAAAACAAACUCAUAUUUUCAAAGUAACUCAAAUCUUCAACUUCUUAUUUUACAAAGAGUCGAUCUAUUAUUCCCAAAAAGAAAUCCAAAACUGAAAUAUAAACAAAAACUCAAAUAUAUGAAUUGGUGUUGGUUGUUACUACUUGUAAUCAAACAAAAUCGACGUUGAUUGAUGUUGGUUGUUGCAUAUCAACAUUGUUAUUGUUCUCAUAUUCCAAGAUCUCAGGUUUUGAAAAACUAACUCCAACAACGUUAAAAUAGUGAAGAAGGUUUGAUUUUAGAAAGAUAAUGAUAAGACAAAUUUAACAUUAAAAUAUAGACCAGGAUGAUGAUAUGGAUUAUCAAAAAAUUGUGUUGAAUACUUCAAACUCCCCUAUAUAUAUUGAAAUUCCUCUUUAUUAGAAAGAAGAUUUUCUGACAGAAUAAUAAAAUCUAGGUUUCUAGGAUGAAGAUAUGAAUUUUGUUGAAUGUGAAGAUGAAUAAUAUGGAAUUUCUGGAAUUUUUAUGUAAAAAAGGAUAAUAAUGUUAACGUUUUAGACCAUAAAGGAUUAAAAUGGGAAAAUAAAAAGAUAAAGGACUGAAUUGUUACCUAAAAUUAAGUUACAGAACUAAUUAUGUAAUUUUUCCUAUUUUUUACCAAUCGUUUCUAUUUCUAAUGGCAACAAAAGAGUUAAAUUUUAUGAUAAAUUCAUUAUCUAGGCUCAUUUCAAAGUUUCCACAAGAGUUUAAUUAUGGGAGUGAAUGUGCAUAAUUCUUGGUUAGAAUAAGCGGCAAGAAUGUUCAAUUGCAGAAGUUAAGCAAAAUCCCGUUUAAAUUUCUUGAUUCACACUGCGAACAAAUUUCAUACUUUACCUUUUUUUUCUUGCAAUGUGAAAGUUCGACCAAAAUUAUGUAUAUAAAGAAAGCCAAAGCUUUAUUUCAUGAAACCUUGUUGAUAAUUGUCAGAAAACACUUUAAAUUUAAUGAAGAAUCAUUAUUUUUCUUAUAAUCCCAAGAAACAAAUGGGAGAGUAACAUGCAAUUAAUGAAACAAGAACUGAAUUGAAAUGUCUUUGAUUAUUAGGAAAAAGCAUGAUGCCAGCAGCAGCUAUUUUACACAAGCCAAACUUCCAAUCAAAUCAGGCCUACGAAGAAGGAAAUCACAAAGAAUAGUGCCGUGUAUUGAGAGAAACAACAAUAUCUCACCUUCUAAGUUUUCUCUAUUCUCUUUCUUUUUUGUACUAUUUAUCUAUCACCAAUAUUUCAGCAAGUCCAAGAAGAUGAUCUUUUAAUCACUGGUUUCAUCUGCUUGUCUUCUUCAAGGGAAAUCAUCCCCAAGUGUGAGGGGUCCUCCAGCAUCAUCUUUGCCACCAAAUAACCCGCAAUAGACCAUGUUUGGUAUUUUCUUGCCUGUUUCCCAACAUAUCUUCCAAGUUUACCAUCAUAAUAUUCAGGCCAUCCAUCCUUCAGUAAACGACUCUCGGCAAGUUCAAUUGCACGUCUUGCUAUUUGUGGUCGCCCUGUCUUGAUGCAAGCAGCUGUUACAAGCCACAGGAGUACUGCGCUCAAGAGCAUGAAACAAAAUGAAAAGUUAGAGAAGGACGUCAAAACUAUGUACAAAAUAUGUUGCAAAUCUUUUCUAUCAAACAUAAACCAGUAACCAUGGUUUAAAUCAGAUUAUCCAUAGAAAGGAUGAGGGGGAAAAGAAAAAGUUAAGGCAUGAACUCGGAUCAAAAUCAGAGGUAUGGUAAGCAUUAUCAAUCUGUUUGGCUGUACCAAAAAUGACUGUGUAUUUAGUAUAAUAUCCCACAAUAAACUAUAUUAAAGUUUUGCGAUGAAAAAGCUAUACAGAGAAAACCGCAAGUCAAAUGAACUUUGAAUAACUAAGCAUGAUGAGAGAAAGGGAAAACCUGGCCAAGAUCCUCCAUUAUGGUAACUCCAUCUGGUAUUUUUGGGAUCACAGCCAGUAACAAUUCGCCACUCGUGACUUUCUAUUGCAGGGUAACUAAUUUUUAGCGGCAUUUCUCCAACCAACUCAUCCCAACGAGCUUCAAUAAGAUCCAUGAUUGCCAUUGACUGCUCUGGAGUUGCUAAAGAAGAAAGAAUUGCAACACAGUUUCCUAAAGCAAACCAUCGAAAAUCCAUUCG
rnacentral:lncRNA from 1 species